ensembl:lncRNA
CUCUUCUCUGAGGUUACAGCCCAUACUGGGGACAAGACGGGGUGUCACAGGGACCUUUGGAAAACAUCGCCACAGUCCAAAGCAGGGGUGGGUUUCCCAUUGGAAAGGAUGCAAAGGCACCCCUGACUGGCCAUGGUCCUGUCCCUUUAAAUUGUCACCCUCCCUUCCUGGGCUCUGAGCUCUGAGAGGCUCUGACACUUCCUCCCCACGCUGGGAGGAGCAUUCUUCUGCACUCACAACCGGAGGGAAAGCACUAGGCCAGGGGCCUCUCCAGCCAACCUCAGAGCCUGUCACCACUGCUGCGGGAAAGGCCAACCACCCUAAGGUAGUCCCCAAGUCACUGAGCAAAUUUUUGGAUUCUCAGCAUUUUCCGAAGUCUCCCCUGGCUGUGGAAUCUCCUGGGAAAACUCAGAAGCUCCAGCUUAUGUCACUGACACAGAACUACCUGGGAACAUUAGCAUUGAGCUCACUCUGACACAGGGACGUGCUAUCAUCUCCCCUCUGGUGUUUGUGUUCAGAGUCCCUGAAAGGUCACCAAACGUUCUCCUGGUGUCGUUCCAACACCAGUCAGGUCCUUCCAGGGUUCUUCCCUAUGUGCUGAUGUUCAGGGGAAGGCAGGAGCCAUGACCUUUGCACUGUGGUGCCACCAACUCUUUGGACCUUGCCUGACCCAUCGAAGGUCAUUAUACCUAUUCGAUGAAUGAAUGAAUGAAUGAAUGAAUGAAUGAACGAACUGUGUUUGGGCCUCUUCCAGGCAAGCAUGGGAGGACGGAAGAUGGCAAGAGAUGAAGAAAACACCUAUGGUAAGAAUUUCCUCACUGUGUGUACUUGGCCCCAGGUGUCAGCUCUGGGGAACAAGGUGAUGAGCUAACACAAGACGGAACAAAUUCCAGGGGCGUCUUCUCCAGCUGAGCUCAGCAGCUCCAGUCAGCACCUUCUCCGAGAGCGGAAGUCCUCGGCCCCGUCGCACUCCAGCCAGCCCACCCUGUUCACCUUUGAGCCCCCGGUGUCAAACCACAUGCAGCCCGCCUUGUCCACCAGUGCGCCUCAGGAGUAUCUCUACUUGCAUCAGUGCGUCAGCCGGAGAGCGGAGAACGCCAGGUAACCUUCACAUGGUACUGGUGUCAGCUGUGCUGCUACAGAGUGGUGAUCAGAUUCCAGAGGAACCUCCCAUUAUCAGAAAUCACGCUAUAAAAAUGUUUAAUCUGGGGGGAAAAGGCAUUAGGGACUAGAGUUUCAGAAUUGGGAAAAAAAACCCGUCAAUUUACUUGUUGGCAAUAAGAGUAUAGCUAUAAAGUCUUACAGUAUUGAACAAAUCCAUAUCUCACUUUUGCUGUAGAGCAGCCCUGUUCUGUGUGGUCGUGAACUAUCCACAGGUGGCUAUUUAAAUUUGAAUGGGUUCAAAUAAGAUAAAACUUAAAUUGAAGUUCCUCAGUUGCACUGGCCACAUUUCAAGUGCUCAGUCGCCACGUGUGGCUAGUGGCUACCCUCUCAGCACAGGUAAGGAAACAUUUCAUCACCACGGAAGGUUCUAGAACAAGGACUCUCUGCUCUAGAAUAAUAGUCUAUGUAUUUCUGACACCACUAGUUCUCUCACAGGUGCCGAGCGUAUACAUAUUUUUACUACCGUUUAUUCUGGUUGUUAGGGUAACAAAAGCACAGAGGUGAUGGGCUUUACCAGAGCUAGUCCCCAGUUGCUAAUCCUGGCCAGCAGAGGACCAAUCACGUGUCUCAGUUCAUUUAGAAACACCGAAUUUGUGUUAUGAAAACUAAGGCAGGUAGAGAACUCACUGUAUUAUGUAUUACAUCAUAGAACAUUUUCAAGCAGAAUCUUACUCGAACCAGUCAAAUGCACUGAGAGACAGCCGAUACAGAUCAUUCUGUCCGUCUCCUAGAUGAGGACAGUGAGGCUCCCAGCUAUGGCGUGACAGAGGCAGGACUAGAGCCCAGGGCUGCUCGGCUCCGGUCCUGCACUCCACACUGCGUCACCCUGCUGCCGGGACCAUGACACGGCUCGCGCUGCCUGCGCUCUGUCUUAAGGUGGCCUCAAAUACCCAUUUUCCUGACGCCUCGGGAUUCCUUUGUUUAUGAACUUCCACGAGUUCAAACUCCAUCAACUUAGACGGAAAGAGCUGAGCUCAGAAACAAGGUGGGAUGAAUGAGCCGAGAUGACAGAAUGAGUUCGCGGCCGCGCCGUAAACAGCCCCGAUGCCCCUGGCUCCCACGCCUCCGGCAGGCAGGAUGCGGAGGCUAGAAGCGUGUACAGGCUUGGGAGUCCGGCAGGUGCGGGUCCAGAUUCAGGUUCUGCCACUUUCUUUGUGAUCUCAGGCCGCUUACUGAACCUCGUUGAGCUUCCAUUUCCUGACCUGUAGAAUGGAAAGGGCUCCUCCUAAGGCUCCCUGAUGAGCAGAGUGACAGGAGCACAUCCGAGUACUUCUGAGCGUUUGUUCUCCUUGUGCCCCACCCCCACUUCACGUGACCUGGCCUCGGAGUAGAGAAGGUGAGGUCUUAAAAUCAUCAUUCUCUUGAAAGUGGACUUUCUAUUAAUGCCUCUCACCCUUAAGGUGCCUAUGAAAUAUCUAGGGAUCUGGUUAAAAUGCCGAUUCUGAAUCAGUAGGCCUGCAGCGGGUCCCGAGAUCCUGCCUUUCUGCUCACUUCCAGGGCUUGCCUUCGGAUCACACUUGAAGUAGAAGGCUUUAUAUAAUACUAACAGCUACCACCACCUCCACUCCCAUGCGGCUGUGAGAGCAGCAGGGAACAGAUGUGUAAAUGUGUCUGCUUGAAUUAGCAGUUAGGGCCCACUCUCUGCACCCCCUCCUCCUCGGUAAAGCCUCUGUUAAUCUGCCUAGCUGAGACCCACAUCUCUGAAUUCCCACAGCAGUUUUUUAUUCUCUCUCGCACGUUUGGCACGCUCUGCUUCAUAGUGUGGACACUUAUAUUAAUAUAUUACUGCCCUUCAAAGACAGGACCAAAGGCAUAUAGUAGGUACAUAAAAAAUAUCCAAACGCAUCUGUGUUACAGAGAGAGAGCAUAACAGGGGAGACAAAACGGAUCUGCAGUUGGGGAAGCAGCCUUAGUGUGGGGCCCUGAGCAAGCUGUGCUUUUCUCUGUGUCUUUGCUUUCACUUGUGGGGGUGUGGGAGCAGGGGAGUGAGGAGAAGGAGCCGGGAGAUUUUUGGAAAAAAUAAGUUCAAACAACAUUAACAGAAUUCCCAAGUGAUGGAGGUUGGGAAGGAAGCUUUCUUUGGGCCAGAAACACCAUAUAAUUUCUAGAGGUAUUGGAGUAGUUUGCAUGAUACUAAACAUACUGUAACAAUUAUAAACUCUGGGCACAACAUAAAAAAACAACUGUUUGAAGGCACUGAAGAGCAAUCACAAGGCAGGCAGAAACUGAAAGAGAUUUAACUCUUAAACGGAGCUGGGGGGGGAAGGGGCGCCUGGGUGGCUCAGUCGUUAAGCUUCUGCCUUUGGCUCAGGGCGUGAUCCCAGGGUCCUGGGAUCGAGCCCCACAUGGGGAUCCCUGCUCCCCUGGGAGCCUGCUUCUCCAUCUCCCUCUCCCCUGCUUGUGUUCCCUCUCUCACUGGCUGUAUCUCUCUCUCUAUCAAAUAAAUAAAUAAAAUCUUUUAAAAAAAUAAAAUAA